rnacentral:rRNA from 1 species
UACGUAGGUUGCGAGCGUUAUUCGGAUUUACUGGGCGUAAAGGGCGCGUAGGCGGCCACCGCAAGUCGACUGUGAAAUCUCCGGGCUUAACCCCGGAAAGGUCAGCCGAUACUGCGGGGCUAGAGUGCAGAAGGGGCAACUGGAAUUCUCGGUGUAGCGGUGAAAUGCGUAGAUAUCGAGAGGAACACCUGCGGCGAAGGCGGGUUGCUGGGCUGACACUGACGCUGAUGCGCGAAAGCUAGGGGAGCGAACGGG